GGCAAGUUGUCAGAGUGGUUAAUGAGUCAGACUUGAAAUCUGAUGGCCUCGGCCGCGCAGGUUCGAAUCCUGCACUUGUCG